UAGUUGGUGGGGUAAUGGCCUACCAAGGCGACGAUCAGUAGCUGGUCUGAGAGGAUGAUCAGCCACACUGGGACUGAGACACGGCCCAGACUCCUACGGGAGGCAGCAGUGGGGAAUAUUGGACAAUGGGCGCAAGCCUGAUCCAGCCAUGCCGCGUGAGUGAUGAAGGCCUUAGGGUUGUAAAGCUCUUUUGUCCGGGACGAUAAUGACGGUACCGGAAGAAUAAGCCCCGGCUAACUUCGUGCCAGCAGCCGCGGUAAUACGAAGGGGGCUAGCGUUGCUCGGAAUCACUGGGCGUAAAGGGCGCGUAGGCGGCCAUUCAAGUCGGGGGGUGAAAGCCUGUGGCUCAACCACAGAAUUGCCUUCGAUACUGGUUUGGCUUGAGUUUGGGUAAAAGGUUGGUGGAACUGCCAGUGGUAAAAGGUGAAAUUCCGUAAAAAUUCCCAAGAA
rnacentral:rRNA from 1 species